rnacentral:rRNA from 1 species
AGUGAACGCUGGCGGCGUGCUUAACACAUGCAAGUCGAACGAGAACGGGUUAUAGCUUGCUACAAUUGUCAGCUAAGUGGCGCACGGGUGAGUAAUGUAUAGGUAAUAUGCCUCUUACUAAGGGAUAACAAAUGGAAACGUUUGCUAAUACCUUAUACUCCUUAUUAACUAAAGUUAGUAAGGGAAAGAUUUAUUGGUAAGAGAUUAGCCUGUAUUGUAUCAGUUAGUUGGUGGGGUAAUGGCCUACCAAGACUAUGACGCAUAACUGGUUUGAGAGGAUGAUCAGUCACACUGGAACUGAGACACGGUCCAGACUCCUACGGGAGGCAGCAGUGGGGAAUAUUGCACAAUGGACGAAAGUCUGAUGCAGCAACGCCGCGUGGAGGAUGACACAUUUCGGUGCGUAAACUCCUUUUAUAUAAGAAGAUAAUGACGGUAUUAUAUGAAUAAGCACCGGCUAACUCCGUGCCAGCAGCCGCGGUAAAGU